GACGAACGCUGGCGGCGUGCUUAACACAUGCAAGUCGAACGGAAAGACCCUGCUUUUGUGGGGUGCUCGAGUGGCGAACGGGUGAGUAACACGGGAGUAACCUGCCCUUGACUUUGUGAUAACUUCAGGAAACUGGGGCUAAUACCGGAUAGGAGCUCCUGCUGCAUGGUGGGGGUUGGAAAGUUUCGGCGGUUGGGGAUGGACUCGCGGCUUAUCAGCUUGUUGGUGGGGUAGUGGCUUACCAAGGCUUUGACGGGUAGCCGGCCUGAGAGGGUGACCGGCCACAUUGGGCCUGAGAUACGGCCCAGACUCCUACGGGAGGCAGCAGUGGGGAAUAUUGCACAAUGGGCGGAAGCCUGAUGCAGCAACGCCGCGUGCGGGAUGACGGCCUUCGGGUUGUAAACCGCUUUCGCCUGUGACGAAGCGUGAGUGACGGUAAUGGGUAAAGAAGCACCGGCUAACUACGUG
rnacentral:rRNA from 1 species